rnacentral:rRNA from 1 species
GAUGAACGCUGGCGGCGUGCCUAAUACAUGCAAGUCGAGCGAACAGACGAGGAGCUUGCUCCUCUGACGUUAGCGGCGGACGGGUGAGUAACACGUGGAUAACCUACCUAUAAGACUGGGAUAACUUCGGGAAACCGGAGCUAAUACCGGAUAAUAUAUUGAACCGCAUGGUUCAAUAGUGAAAGACGGUUUUGCUGUCACUUAUAGAUGGAUCCGCGCCGCAUUAGCUAGUUGGUAAGGUAACGGCUUACCAAGGCGACGAUGCGUAGCCGACCUGAGAGGGGGAUCGGCCACACCGGAACUGAGACACGGUCCAGACUCCCACGGGAGGCAGCAGUAGGGAAUCUUCCGCAAUGGGCGAAAGCCUGACGGAGCAACGCCGCGUGAGUGAUGAAGGUCUUCGGAUCGUAAAACUCUGUUAUUAGGGAAGAACAAAUGUGUAAGUAACUAUGCACGUCUUGACGGUACCUAAUCAGAAAGCCACGGCUAACUACGUG